GUUGAUGAUCUUACAGCAAAAUUGGAAACUGUGUCUUCAAGAAACCAGGUUCUUAUUCAGGAGUUAUCAUCUAUGAAAGAAAUACGGACUAAAUGUGAAAAGCUAGAGAAGAAGAAAAAGAAGUUGGAACAACAAGUAGUAAACCUCAGAAGUUGUGAGGAAGUCAACGUAACGCAAGUAGCAUUUCAAGAAAGCGUAGCACAGUUAUGAGAAAAUAAUAAUGCUUCAGUAAGAAGUCAAAUGGAACUCAGAAUUAAAGAGCUGGAAUUUGAAUUAUCCAAAAUGAAAAGUUGUCAAGACUUUACUAAAACAGAAUUGGGCACAUACAAGCACCUCUACCUAGAAGAAGUAACACAUCGAAUGUCAUUGACAAAUGAACAGAAUAAGACUAGUGAGAGGCUGGCAGAGACCAGUACCAAACUUCUGGUGGA